rnacentral:misc_RNA from 1 species
AACGCACGAGACCUGCGGACCUGCGGAGGGAUCAUUACCGAGUUUACAACUCCCAAACCCCUGUGAACAUACCACUCGUUGCCUCGGCGGAUCACCGCGCCCCGUGAAACGGGCCGGCCCGCCAGAGGACCUAAACUCAAAUGUUUUAUUGUAUCUUCUGAGUAAAAACACAAAUAAAUCAAAACUUUCAACAACGGAUCUCU